UUCAAAAGGAUUUGCAGUCCAUGCAACACAUCUGCAUAGGGAUCUUAUAUACCAAAUCGGAACAUUGCUCGGCCUUUUUCUGUCAAGUCAAGACAUUGACGGAAAAGGCCAAGCGAUGUUCUGAUUGAGUAUGUGCCUAUAUUCUACGACCAAUGAAACGGACCGGCUAGAUUCAAACUAAUAAAAUACAUUAUGAAAGCGCAGCCGGAUUAUCACGCGAAUUUCCGCUGUGUACAUAUGGUUUUUUUUUUAUUAUUGCAUUGAAUAAUCAUUCUACUAAUAAAGAUUUCAUUUCUGUAGUUCCCUAGCU
rnacentral:misc_RNA from 1 species